CGGACGGGUGAGUAAUGUCUGGGAAACUGCCCGAUGGCGGGGGAUAACUACUGGAAACGGUAGCUAAUACCGCAUAAUGUCUACGGACCAAAGCGGGGGACCUCCGGGCCUCGCGCCAUCAGAUGAACCCAUAUGGGAUUAGCUUGUAGGUAAGGUAACGGCUUACCUAGGCGACGAUCCCUAGCUGGUCUGAGAGGAUGAUCAGCCACACUGGGACUGAGACACGGCCCAG
rnacentral:rRNA from 1 species